rnacentral:rRNA from 1 species
AUGUCGCGCCACCGGGCUAUUUGUGGGGAUCACGUCGUCACCAAGCACGAGCUCCCGCCCCAUCCGCCGGACCGCAAAGGGCUUCAGGGAGGAGACGGUGGAAACAAAACUGCCCUCCCCUCCUCUCCUCCUCCUCAAGCAUGGUGGAUGAAGACCUCCUCUCCUCUCCUCUCCAGCUCUGAGGAUGACGAGCUGCUUCCUACUCCGCUCAUAGCCAACCAGCCGUCGCCGUCAAGAUGUUGCCUGCGCGCUCUCAUGUCCAGCGUCACCGCCAUCAUCAUGAUGCAGAACAGGGGGCACAAGAUCGACAACAUCUGUCCCAUGGACCAGAUGCUCAGGUUGCUAGGGCGGCUCUGA